GUCCCUGUAGUGCAAUGGAUAAUAGCAUGUUGGACUUCUAAUCCAAAGGUCAUGGGUUCGAAUUCCACCUGGGAUG